GAGAGUAGCGGGUUGAGGUGUAAGCCCUGAGGAGGCAGCGUUUUCUGGGCUUCUGUCUGGUUGUCUCUCUCCAGAAGGUUCUGCCGGUUCCCCCAGCUCUGGGUAUCCGGCUCUGCAUCGCGCCGCCAUGAUGGGCCAUCGUCCAGUGCUCGUGCUCAGCCAGAACACAAAGCGUGAAUCCGGAAGAAAAGUUCAAUCUGGAAACAUCAAUGCUGCCAAGACUAUUGCAGAUAUCAUCCGAACAUGUUUGGGACCGAAGUCCAUGAUGAAGAUGCUUUUGGACCCAAUGGGAGGCAUUGUGAUGACCAACGAUGGCAAUGCCAUUCUUCGAGAGAUUCAAGUCCAGCAUCCAGCAGCCAAGUCCAUGAUCGAAAUUAGCCGGACCCAGGAUGAAGAGGUUGGAGAUGGGACCACAUCAGUAAUUAUUCUUGGUCUCGGUCUGUCACCAGGCUGGAGUGUGGUCGCGUGAUCUUGGCUCACUGCAACCUCCACCUCCCGGAGUAUAGUCCCAGCCUCCCAAGUAGCUGGGACUAUAGUCACGUGCCACCAUGCCCAGCUAAUUUUUGUAUUUUUAGUAGAGACAGGGUUUCACCAUGUUGGCCAGAUGGUCUCGAUCUCUUAACCUCGUGAUCCGCCCUCCUUGGCCUCCCAAAGUGUUGGGAUUACAGGCGUGAGCCACCACGCCUUUCAAGUCACCACAAACACUGAAUUGGCAAAUAAUAAAUCUUUGCUUCUAUAGGAAAUAUAGGGUUAGGUACCUAUAAGCCUCUGGUCACACUUUCAUUAACUGAUAAAUAUAUACCUUAUUGUUUGUGUUUGUCUUCAGGACACCCAUCUAAUAUAUAUAGUUGAUUUAUUAGCAUUGAACUCAUAGCCCAUAGCAAUAUAACUCAUGCCUGGACAAAGCUCACCUAACGUAUUUUCUCUGUAAGGCAUAUCACAGCCUUCUUGCACAUAGAAGCAUUAGAUAGCACUUAAGCACUACACUUGUGAGCCACUAUAAAUACCGAAAUCAUCAAGAAAAAUGUGAAAAACAUAACCUUAAAUAUAC
rnacentral:sRNA from 1 species